rnacentral:rRNA from 1 species
UACGGAGGAGGCAAGCGUUAUCCGGAAUUAUUGGGCGUAAAGCGUCCGCAGGUGGCACUUCAAGUCUGUCGUCAAAGACUGGGGCUUAACCCCGGAAAGGCGGCGGAAACUGAAGCGCUAGAGUGCGGUAGGGGUAGAGGGAAUUCCCGGUGUAGCGGUGAAAUGCGUAGAGAUCGGGAAGAACAUCGGUGGCGAAAGCGGCUACCUGGACCGGUUCUGACGCUGAUGCGCGAAAGCGUGGGUAGCAAACAGG